UAUUUAAACGUAGGUCCCGGGUGCAAAUGCAAGAACACUGGCCAUUUUGUGUGGAUGUUUGUAAAUCUGUCAUGCUAAUUACAUUUUUGGCAGCCAGGAAGCUAGAUGGUUGCUCUAAAAGUCUGUGUGUUUGUGUGCGUGCGUGCGUUUGUGUGUGCGCGUUUGUCCACUUAGCGACAUAUUGGCUGGCUUGGUAACAGCGGCCCACAUUGCAGAACGUUGCAGGGCUGGAUAGAGAGAGAAGGAAAUUGCCUUUCCCAGGCCAGCCCCCUCAUCUCAUCUCACCCAGCAACCCUUGCACCUGUCGUGUCACGUGGACGGAGAGAUAUUCCUGUCACCAGGCAGGCUAGGAAAGCUUUAAAAAGAUAAACAUUCACACGCCAUGGACCAGAGGUUGAAUACAUUGACCAUGUUGUCAAUCCAGCAAUGACUUCAUCCAGAGAAUGUCAGACUUUGAUGAUAAAGUUUGCCUACAAGAAGGACCGCAGCGCCACCUUCCUGUUCAGGUCAGUCCAAAAAGAUAAAUGAUGUAUAAAUGAUGCAAUAUGCAAGGGAGUUAUGUAUAUUGUAGAUCAGAAGGUAAUGCUA